CUGAUGACGGUACCUGAAGAAUAAGCACCGGCUAACUACGUGCCAGCAGCCGCGGUAAUACGUAGGGUGCGAGCGUUAAUCGGAAUUACUGGGCGUAAAGCGGGCGCAGACGGUUACUUAAGCGGGAUGUGAAAUCCCCGGGCUCAACCCGGGAACUGCGUUCCGAACUGGGUGGCUAGAGUGUGUCAGAGGGGGGUAGAAUUCCACGUGUAGCAGUGAAAUGCGUAGAGAUGUGGAGGAAUACCGAUGGCGAAGGCAGCCCCCUGGGAUAACACUGACGUUCAUGCCCGAAAGCGUGGGUAGCAAACAGGAUUAGAUACCCUGGUAGUCCACGCCCUAAACGAUGUCGAUUAGCUGUUGGGGUACUUGAUGCCUUAGUAGCGUAGCUAACGCGUGAAAUCGACCGCCUGGGGAGUACGGUCGCAAGAUUAAAACUCAAAGGAAUUGACGGGGACCCGCACAAGCGGUGGAUGAUGUGGAUUAAUUCGAUGCAACGCGAAGAACCUUACCUGGUCUUGACAUGUACGGAACCUUCCAGAGACGGAAGGGUGCCUUCGGGAGCCGUAACACAGGUGCUGCAUGGCUGUCGUCAGCUCGUGUCGUGAGAUGUUGGGUUAAGUCCCGCAACGAGCGCAACCCUUGUCAUUAGUUGCCAUCAUUUGGUUGGGCACUCUAAUGAGACUGCCGGUGACAAACCGGAGGAAGGUGGGGAUGACGUCAAGUCCUCAUGGCCCUUAUGACCAGGGCUUCACACGUCAUACAAUGGUCGGUACAGAGGGUAGCCAAGCCGCGAGGCGGAGCCAAUCCCAGAAAACCGAUCGUAGUCCGGAUUGCACUCUGCAACUCGAGUGCAUGAAGUCGGAAUCGCUAGUAAUCGCAGGUCAGCAUACUGCGGUGAAUACGUUCCCGGGUCUUGUACACACCGCCCGUCACACCAUGGGAGUGGGGGAUACCAGAAGCAGGUAGGCUAACCGCAAGGGGGCCGCUUGCCACGGUAUGCUUC
rnacentral:rRNA from 1 species